rnacentral:misc_RNA from 1 species
GAGACAAGGCUAUGACUACUGGCAGGAUCAACCAGGUAGCAUUCCUUUGGGACAUGCACACACACUCGCAUGAGCCCCGCCAAGCCGUGAGGCUGCGAGCCCAAAGACGAGCGCGGCAGUCGUUCAUGCUGUUAGGCAAUUUGCAUUGCUUUUCCGGACGGAGGCCUCCGAGAGACCAUCCACCAUAGCACAUAACGUUCUGCAUCCGAGAGCACGGGCAAAGAACCUCAUGGGCCAAGGCAGCCACCCACUUGGGCAAGGCAUGCUGGGAACACGAGGCUUGCCUGAUGUCCACCCAACCGCCCGUUAGGGCAUUGGGCAGAGAGGAACACAUGAACCAUCAAAUUCCUUUCGAUAGGUAAGCAACACAG